GGGUUACGUUACUCCUUUAAGGUGUAUCCGGAUAUCUUCUCCUACAGUUUUGAAGACAGAAAGUUUUUUUGUGUUUUUUUUGUUUUGCAAAUCAAUUGAACCUAAAAAUGAAACGUGCAUAUUACUUGGAUUGAAUUGCGUUAAUUUAUACAAAAAAUAUAUGUACGAGCUACUGUACUUGGCAUUUUAUUGUAUAUAUUAUAUUGUAUAUAGGAUACUGAUUUUUUUUCGGAUGACUCCUCUUAGAGUUUUCAUGAUAGGCUAGUAACUUUUUUGCAUAUCAAUUGACGAACAUGCUUACAUAGAUUUGCAUACUGCUUGAAUUGAAAAGUUUUGAUAUUUUCGCAAAAAAAUGCCAGCUGCUGAAGAUAAGAUUUUUUUUAGUUUGCUGUUUAAUUGUACUUGCAUGCAAAAUAUGUAUAUUAUUUGUAUUUAUUGUUUUAAUGAAUGUAAGAGAAAAAUUACCGGUUACAUUAUUUUCUUCAAAAUGUUGUACAUCAUUUGUUUAGAUAACUUUUUUUCAGUUUUCAAGAUAGGAAGGUAUUUGCAGUUCAGUUUUAAAGAAUAGCACCAUAGAGAUAGGUUUUAUAUACUUUGGUGUUUUUAAAAAAAUAUUUUGAACGAAUAGACUGACACUAAAUUGUGAGCACGAAAUGGACGAUUAUAUCACGUGAGGAUUGGCCUUAGAUAGUGUCAUCAAUUCAAGUUAAACAAAGGAAUUAAGGGUACUGUUCACACAAACGAAAACCAAGAUUGCUGUCAGUUUGCUGUCAGACACACAGCGUUAUCUUGUCGAUAUGAUUGAAAUAAAUACUGACACAGUUAUCAGUUAUGUUUUG
rnacentral:sRNA from 1 species